UUUUUCUACUUAAAUCUUAAUGAAAUGGAUUUUUUAUGUUUUUGUAUAAUCUAACAUCACCUUUAGUUGGCAGGAAUAGCUAUUCUAUUCUUAUGAAACUAUCCUUGCAUUUGGUAACAAAAUUAACCUGUAAUAUCAACUUCUGGCAGAUAUUUAUUCCCUCUUAAUCCUUUUACCUUUUACCUAAUCCUUUUAUUUACCCAAGAAUACUAUAGUGCUUUGUGAUAAGUUGUAAUUGAUCUCUUCAAAAGCAAGUUUCUGGUUGUAGAGAUAUUUUGGUUGUUUAAUCCCAUUUCUGUUACAUUCACAAUUCAUGCAAAUCAAACCUACAAGUGGUAAGGCAAAGUUCAAUACAUAUUCCUACUCUAUUCCUAUUUCAUUUCAUUCCCAAGAAUAACUAUUCAAUUCCUUAUUAAUUCUAUCCUGCUAACCAAGGGGUUUCAAUGAGGUAAUUUUCAUGGUAAAUUUAAUUGAUGGGUGUCCUUGUACUUCAAGAGCAUAGCCCUGCGUAACUGUUCAACACUUUCACUGUAUGUCAGGGUAUCAUAUUGCUUGUAAUAGAAAAGCUACUAAGCAGGUAACUAAAAUGUUUGACAUUUUUAAUUAAAAGAUUGCUACAUUCCUGUAUUUGUUUGCUGUCAGCAAAUACCUGCAGGUGGUUAAGUACAGUUCGCUACCCCGCCCAUACUUCCAGAUUAUUUUUUCUUCUUAAGAAACAAACCUAAAAUGAAUUACUGAUGCUAGGAAAAGAUGCACUUUGCAUAAAUUUAUGACAUGAGUGCACACUGGAAUUUAUUUCAUUUUUUAUGAAUCUUACUCUUUGUUUUUGUUGCAGCCUGGUUUGUUUGGCUUGGUGGCAACAGUGAACUAUAAGAUUGAUCAGCAACCAUAUCAGAAUGUUUUCUAUAAUGGUACAAUUGAAGUUGUUGAAACUGGAUCAUUUAUAAGCAUUGGGUCGGUUUUCCUUGUGACCCUUGGAGUUGCUCUUCUCAUCUUCCUGGAAUUGUAGGCAUAUGGUCAAAUUCAACCGUUCUCAGAGCUUCCGAACCUGGACCAAGGUGGUUGAACCGGUCACCACCUCCAGUUGUGAUUUUUGCGUUGCACAGGCCUAAAGUUCUGUUCAAUUGGAGUGCCUUUAUUAAUCCAACUAGCAACCUCCAUUCAAAUUUAAAUGGUUGAACUGGCUGGUCUAGAGCCAUUUUUGAAGACAGGUUACAUACUAAUCCUGAAAGAGUGUGCUAGAAAAGUUUGCUUUCUGCAGUAUCCUCAUCACAGUAUGCUAACUCAUGUUCAUAACAAGAAUACAAGAUCAGUAGGUCUAUCGGAUCCAUGGGCAAGAAGACUUGCAAUUGUAUUCUUGAUCAAUUACUUCUUUCUAUGCUAUUUGCAAACAUGUUUUCCGCAAAAUGAGUUCAGGCCUGAUAUUAUGUACAAAGACAUAACCAGUUUAGAAAGGAAAAUGAAUUGCAAUUUCUUCGUCGAAGAGGUCUAUCCUGAACGUGGUUUGCCAUCUAAUAAGAAGAGAAUCUUCUGUCCCUCUAUGAUAGAUACUUUGAUGUUCUUAUUUCCUGUGAUCUGUUUAUGCUUUUAACAUUAAAACUCAUUUGGAGAGUGCAAUUUCCAGGUUUUAGCAUAACUUUCUCUAAAUAUGCUCAUUCUGGUUUAUAUUGAUACCUUACUAGCCUUUUUUUUCGCUCUCCAGAGAACAAAGAGAUCGCAUAUGGAUGAGUGCUUGCAGGAUGAUUAUGAUGGAAGAUUCAUCAUUAAGAAGAUUCUAUCAAAGUUUUGCUAGUGUUUGAUCUGAUCAAGACUUUUGUCAAUUGUGCAAUCUAUAAGGAAUAAAUUGUAGUUGAAAUCUAUUAUGGCAGAUGACUA